AGACAAAAAUAUAAAACUGGACAACAGAAGUCACCAGUGUUUUAAUGAAACAAAGAAUUAGUUUUUGGGUCUGGUACCUUCUAAAGCAUCUGUAGAUUUUAGAAAAGGAAUUUCACACCACCACCACCACCAAGAAAGCCCAACCAACCUAAAACUUGAAUAACUGAACUUAAUCCGAGUCAUUCCUAUUUUAUGAGCCAUCAUGAUCCACAGUUUCUGUUUCUUCUCAUGUCGUCGUUUCCUUUCUGAAAUCAUUCUUGUAGACUGCUGAAGACUAAAUGCUAGCCCAGAUGGAGACUGAAUUUCAACCUUUUUCAUUUUUGGCUUCUUGGUUUUGGGGUGAGAGUUCAUCAGACUGUUGGUAUACGUGACUUGCCACCAACUCUACAGCAACCUGCUGUCUCUGAGCUUUAGUUGUUUCUGAGAUAAAUGAGAU
rnacentral:lncRNA from 10 species